GGUACAGCAUCUGGAUCACGAUGGGGUCUGACCUGUAUGCCAGUAAAGUGAGCAGCCUGGUGAAGGCCCAGUGAGCAGUUUCAGGGACAAAUGACGGCGAAGGCGUGACUCACAGGACCUCUGUCAGAGGCCAGACAAGGAUCCGGAGCCCGGAGCCGGACCCUGCUGGAGUACCAG